rnacentral:rRNA from 1 species
CACAAAAAUGCACAUAUUGUGAGCUCGAUGAGUAGGGCGGGACACGUGGUAUCCUGUCUGAAUAUGGGGGGACCAUCCUCCAAGGCUAAAUACUCCUGACUGACCGAUAGUGAACCAGUACCGUGAGGGAAAGGCGAAAAGAACCCCGGCGAGGGGAGUGAAAAAGAACCUGAAACCGUGUACGUACAAGCAGUGGGAGCCUCUUAAUGGGGUGACUGCGUACCUUUUGUAUAAUGGGUCAGCGACUUAUAUUCUGUAGCAAGGUUAACCGAAUAGGGGAGCCGAAGGGAAACCGAGUCUUAACUGGGCGUUAAGUUGCAGGGUAUAGACCCGAAACCCGGUGAUCUAGCCAUGGGCAGGUUGAAGGUUGGGUAACACUAACUGGAGGACCGAACCGACUAAUGUUGAAAAAUUAGCGGAUGACUUGUGGCUGGGGGUGAAAGGCCAAUCAAACCGGGAGAUAGCUGGUUCUCCCCGAAAGCUAUUUAGGUAGCGCCUCGUGAAUUCAUCUCCGGGGGUAGAGCACUGUUUCGGCAAGGGGGUCAUCCCGACUUACCAACCCGAUGCAAACUGCGAAUACCGGAGAAUGUUAUCACGGGAGACACACGGCGGGUGCUAACGUCCGUCGUGAAGAGGGAAACAACCCAGACCGCCAGCUAAGGUCCCAAAGUCAUGGUUAAGUGGGAAACGAUGUGGGAAGGCCCAGACAGCCAGGAUGUUGGCUUAGAAGCAGCCAUCAUUUAAAGAAAGCGUAAUAGCUCACUGGUCGAGUCGGCCUGCGCGGAAGAUGUAACGGGGCUAAACCAUGCACCGAAGCUGCGGCAGCGACACUAUGUGUUGUUGGGUAGGGGAGC